CUACUGCCGGCGACCGGCGCACGGGUGAGUAACACGUAUGCAACCUGCCCCUGUCAGGGGGACAACCCGCCGAAAGGCGGGCUAAACCCGCGUACAUGCCACCGGGGCAUCCCGGAGGCAGGAAAGGCUUCGGCCGGACAGGGAUGGGCAUGCGGCGCAUUAGGCAGUAGGCGGGGUAACGGCCCACCUAACCGACGAUGCGUAGGGGUUCUGAGAGGAAGGUCCCCCACACUGGUACUGAGACACGGACCAGACUCCUACGGGAGGCAGCAG
rnacentral:rRNA from 1 species